rnacentral:precursor_RNA from 1 species
AGAGGUCUUCCAUGGUGCAUUCGCUUUAUUUUUUUUGACGAAUCAUACAUGGUUGACCUUUUU